rnacentral:ncRNA from 2 species
UUAGUUUGAGGCGAUGGCAUUCCUCCCGUUUAAGAACUGUCCUAAUAAGGACUGAUGAUGCCUACGUUAAC